GGUUAUUUAGGUGACUAUUGUCCAAGUAUUUGAUUCUGGAAAAAUGCUGGUAUUUAGUAUUACAUAACAUUAUUGUUUUCCAUGCCGACUGCGAUAUGUAGAAUUCUCGUGCUUGGUUCAUAUUACAUCACUCUUUUGUUGGAGACCUCCAUAUAUACCAUCACUCACAGACUUGAAGAACAAGUAUCACCACGAUAGAAGAUCAUGRAAGACGGUGAAGAAAAAGCCUUUCUCUUCAGUCAAACACCGCGAGAUGAAUUAUCAAAACCUGUCAUCGCAUGGACAAGUUGAAAAGCAACUCGCACAGAACAAUCAUCGACAUGCGAAAACAGCCUCAUGCUCCCAGCAAAUAAUUUGGCACUAAAGCACAAGGCAUAUGAGGAUGAUACUCAUAUGCACUGAAAAGUACUGCUAAACAUACUGACAAUAAAGAACCAUGUUGUUUUGUG